UUUACACCAUUUAGUGAAAUUUUACUGCAAAUAGAAAUGUUCGUACAAAAUUCGAGUCACAAAAACUUACAUGUGCAACAUACAGAUUUCUUACGGGGUCUGACUGGAUUUACGGAAACUUGGUGUUUUUGGCUUUCAGUCACAGUUUUAAAAUACAGACAAAUACAGAUUUUCUAAAAUCCUGAUACAGAUUUUUGGAAAAAUCAUCUGGCAUCCCUGUUUAUAACUUUUGGGUGGACUUCUGGGGAAAAUUCAGAUAGUUAGAUUCCAACGGAGUUGUAAAGCGUUUAGAUGAAAAUACUGAUGACAAACAUUGCGCUGGGAUUCUGGGGGAUCUUUGUAUGGUAUUACAGCGAGAACUAGGGUUACUAAUUAUUAAUUCUGCAAUAUUGGAGUUCGGACUACGGUGGGAGGAAUUUUGCUGGGACUCUUGAAGAAAUACUGAGACAAAGCUUCACAGGAAAUUUAAUGGAAAUUUAAUGAAGAUCCACGAAGGAUUUUUUUGUGAUGAAUCUUCUGGCAUUCCGUACGAAGGUUUUUCUUUGGGAUUACGCAGAAAAUCCUCUUGAAAUUCUUCUAUGUGUUCCACCGGAAAAUCCACCAGGAGUUUGCCGGGGAUUCUCAUAAAAUGUCUCCGAGAUUUUCAUUAGAAGUUCUACAAAAAAUCCCUCCAUGGGUUCCUUCUAAUGUUUUUUUUCAGGAUUUAAUAUCAUGGGAUCUUCUAGGAGUUCCUUCAAGGUUUUCUUCAAAGAUGUUUUCUAAGAUUCUACCUACAGAUUCUAGAUUUGGCUCAAAUUUUCCAAAUGGAGGAGAACGUGCCUUUGGAGCCGACCUACUGAAGAUUCUACCAGGAGUUUUUUCGAUCCAUCCUUCAAUAAUUACAACCGAGAUUUCUGUAGUAUUUUAUACCAGGGUUCACUCAGAUAUUUAUUCGGAGAUUCCCGCAGGAAUUCCUUCCGGUAUUAUUUCAAAAGUUCGGUCUAGGAUUUCUACAGGAAUGCAUUCUAAGAUUUCCCCGGGAGUUUUUUUUUUCCAAAAUACAACUAUUUGGGAUUCCUCCAGGUUUUCUCUGGACGUUUCUUAUGUGAAUCCUCAAGGAAUUCCUUUUGGGAUUUCUCCAGUUAUCGUUUAUUAGAUUUAUCUGGGAAAUCUUUCCUUCAGCAUCUUCUCCCGGGAUUCCUCCAGAAGCUCGUUCUAGGUCUCCUCUAGGAGUAACUUUAUGGGUUCCUCUCAUAGUUUCUUUUGGAAUUUUUCCAGGAGUUACUUUUAAGAUUACACCAGGAGUGGCAUCAGGGAGGUUUCUCCAAUAAUUCCUCCAAAGAUUCAUCUAGAAAUUCCUCCGGAGAUUCCUCCAGAAAUUCCUCCAGAAAUUCCUCCAGGAAUUUCUCCAUAGAAUCCAACUCCUCCGGAGAUUUCUUAAGAAAUUCGUAGAAAUUCCCUCCUCAAAUAACUUCUGUGAAUUCCUCUAUACUCCCUCAUAAGCUACUUGUAGAGAUUUCUCCAAGAAUUCCUUUAAAAGUAUUUUUAGCGAUUCCUACAAGAGCUAAGUAUGAAAUUCCUCGGAGAAAAUCUGUAUCAAUACAGGUUUUCUGUAUCGCUGCUUCACCCUCAAAAGCAAACAACAACGGGAGCCCUAGAUUUCGCUAGAAACUAAAAAAAAUGUACUACUUUUUGAAGGUUUUUAAUUUUGUCUGUUUUUUUUCUAAACAUGUGUCAAAAUGUACAAAUUUUCAUAAAUUCUUUAAAGUUUGAGCAGCAAUUAUUAAAGUUUUCGUUAGAUUUAUUUGAAUAAAACUUACAAUUUUAUCCGUAUUUUUCUUCCCUCUUUUUCUUGUCUGUAUGGAUGGCCGAAAAUCUGUAUGAUACAGAAAAAUCUGUAUAUCUGGCAUCUCUGGUCAGAGAAGCCCCAGAAUAAUUCCCUGAAAAACUACUGGUACGUUUCCAGAAAAUAGAAAAAAAUCUUAUAAGACUCCCACAAGGGAAUUCUGUCAGAUUCCCAGAAGGAACAUCUGUUGAAUUUUGAUCUCCUAAAGGAUCUCUAUGAAGAAUCCCAAAUCCUUGUAAGAUUUCUAGAAGGGAGCUCUAGAAAAUUCACACAAGAAAUUCUUGAAGAUUCCCUGAAGAAACUCCAGAAGGAUUGCCAGAUGGGGAUGAUAACAUAAGGCUGAAUUUCAAAAGGCUGAAUUCACAAAAAUCUGAAUUUGCGAAAAUGCAGGAUACUUCUUCUUCUUCUUCUUUUUUAUGGCGUAACGUCCCAUCUGAGACAAAGCCUGUUUCUCAGCUUCUAUACGCAUUUCUACAGUUAUUAAUUGAGAGCCUUCUCUGCCAAUGGCCACUUUGCAUUUGUAUAUCGUGUGACAGGCAAGAAGAUACUUUAUGCCCGUGGUAGUCAAGUAAUUUUCCUUCACAAAAAGUUCCUGGUCCGAGCGAGAAUCGAACCUGUUACUCUCCGCGUGACUACUUGUUCGCUAACCACAUUGGCUACAUAUGUGUCAUAGGUUGUGCUUAGUGAAGAGGCUAAUGAUGCAUACCAACGAACAUAAAAAAUGACUGAUGAUAUUUCAAUCGGAGAUUUUUCCUUCUUUGAACAUGAGCCAUUCUAUCAAGUUAUGCUGUUGAGAUUGGUUGCCAUUACAGCUGCUAACAAUGUGAUCAGAGAUUUUACCUUCUUUUAAACAUAUGCUAUUCUUUGGAGAAAUACUAUCAUAGUUAUGGAGGCGAUCAAUAAUGCAUAGCGCGGACAAACAGUUCUAACGCUUCCGGAUGUAAAAUAUAGUAACGGAAGCAUGUUCGCCUAAUAUCAAAAAAGGUUUAGUUUGGCCAACCAUUAACCAAUAAGUGGUAGUGUGCGUCAAAUGUCAAGCUCAAGCAAACCAAUACAAGUACCAAGGCUGGUUGGUCGGCCAACUAGCAAAUUUUCAAAAAGACUGUUAUAUCAGUGUACGAUAUGAAUAAUAAGAGCGUUAUGUCUGUUUGUCUGUGAUGUUAGUGUUGGGCUGGUCUUCAGCAUGACAGCUUAUGGG